GUAAGGAAUAUUGGACAAUGGACGCAAGUCUGAUCCAGCCAUGCCGCGUGAAGGAUUAAGGUCCUCUGGAUUGUACACUUCUUUUAUAAGGGACGAAAAAAGGCUUUUCUAAGUCGUCUGACGGUACCUUAUGAAUAAGCACCGGCUAACUCCGUGCCAGCAGCCGCGGUAAUACGGAGGGUGCAAGCGUUAUCCGGAUUCACUGGGUUUAAAGGGUGCGUAGGCGGGCAGGUAAGUCAGUGGUGAAAUCCUAGAGCUUAACUCUAGAAAUGCAAUUGAUAAUAUCUAUCUUGAGUAUUGUGAAGGUAAGCGGAAUAUGUCAUGUAGCGGUGAAAUGCUUAGAUAUGACAUAGAACACCUAUUGCGAAGGCAGCUUACUACGCAUAUAUUGACGCUGAGGCACGAAGGCGUGGGGAUCAAACAGGAUUAGAAACCCGGGUAGUCC
rnacentral:rRNA from 1 species